GACGUAGGAUGCGAGCGUUGUUCGGAUUUAUUGGGCGUAAAGCGUACGUAGGCGGCUUUUUAAGUCUGGUGUUAAAGCUAGGGGCUCAACCCCUGUGUUGCACUGGAAACUGGGAGCUUGAGUGUGGUAGGGGAAGGUGGAAUUCCGAGUGUAGCGGUGAAAUGCGUAGAUAUUCGGAAGAACACCGGUGGCGAAAGCGACCUUCUGGGCCAUUACUGACGCUGAGGUACGAAAGCUUGGGGAGCGAACGGG
rnacentral:rRNA from 1 species